CAGCCGCCGCGGGAAUACAGAGGGUGCGAGCGUUAAUCGGAUUUACUGGGCGUAAAGCGUGCGUAGGCGGCUUCUUAAGUCGGAUGUGAAAUCCCUGAGCUUAACUUGGGAAUUGCAUUCGAUACUGGUUAGCUAGAGUGUGGGAGAGGAUGGUAGAAUUCCAGGUGUAGCGGUGAAAUGCGUAGAGAUCUGGAGGAAUACCGAUUGCGAAGGCAGCCAUCUGGCCUAACACUGACGCUGAGGUACGAAAGCAUGGGGAGCAAACAGGAUUAGAUACCCCAGUAGUCCCUGUCUCUUAUAA
rnacentral:rRNA from 1 species